rnacentral:pre_miRNA from 9 species
UCUCGAUAGCGUAAAAGUUAACUCGAAUGAAGUUGCAGCGUUUGCCUACGUUCGCCGCUAGGGGCGCUGUUCCAACUGCAUACAAAUUUCAGGUAACUUUUACGUUAUCGA